CAUUAUGAAGCUUCAUAGCAUUAACCUUUUAAGUUAAAGAAUGAAACCAAUUAAGUUUCCAUAAUGA
rnacentral:tRNA from 1 species